ACGGCUCAGUAACACGUGGUCAAUCUACCCUAUGGACGGGAAUAAUCUCGGGAAACUGAGAAUAAUGCCCGAUAGAACAUUAUGCCUGGAAUGGUUUAUGUUUCAAAUGAUUUAUCGCCAUAGGAUGGGACUGCGGCCUAUCAGUUUGUUGGUGAGGUAAUGGCCCACCAAGACUAUUACAGGUACGGGCUCUGAGAGGAGUGGCCCGGAGAUGGGUACUGAGACACGGACCCAGGCCCUAUGGGGCGCAGCAGGCGAGAAAACUUUGCAAUGUGCGAAAGCACGACAACGUUAAUCCGAGUGGUUUCUGCUAAAGAAACCUUUUGCCAGUCCUAGAAACACUGGCGAAUAAGGGGUGGGCAAGUUCUGGUGUCAGCCGCCGCGGUAAAACCAGCACCUCAAGUGGUCAGGAUGAUUAUUGGGCCUAAAGCAUCCGUAGCUCGUUUUGUAAGUUUUCGGUUAAAUCCAUGCGCUUAACGUAUGGGCUGCCGGGAAUACUGCAUAACUAGGAAGUGGGAGAGGUAGACGGUACUCGGUAGGAAGGGGUAAAAUCCUUUGAUCUAUUGAUGACCACCUGUGGCGAAGGCGGUCUACCAGAACACGUUCGACGGUGAGGGAUGAAAGCUGGGGGAGCAAACCGGAUUAGAUACCCGGGUAGUCCCAGCUGUAAACUAUGCAAACUCAGUGAUGCAUUGGCUUGUGGCCAAUGCAGUGCUGCAGGGAAGCCGUUAAGUUUGCCGCCUGGGAAGUACGUACGCAAGUAUGAAACUUAAAGGAAUUGGCGGGGGAG
rnacentral:rRNA from 1 species